rnacentral:rRNA from 1 species
GUCCUACGGGGGGCAGCAGUGGGGGAUAUUGCACAAUGGAGGGAACUCUGAUGCAGCGACGCCGCGUGAGGGAAGAAGGCCCUGCGGGUCGCAGACCUCUUUGGACGGGGAGCAAGGCCGCCGACGUGUCGGCGGAAGGAGAGUACCCGUAGAACAAGCAUCGGCUAACUCCGUGCCAGCAGCCGCGGUAAUACGGAGGAUGCGAGCGUUAUCCGGAUUUAUUGGGUUUAAAGGGUGCGCAGGCGGCACGGCAAGCCGGCGGUCAAAUCGCGGGGCUCAACCCCGCCCAGCCGUCGGAACUGCCG